AACGCAAGUACAGGGGGCAUUAUUAAUGAAACUAGUGGAAUUUUUACAUCAAAUUUUAUAUUAGACAUCUCAAAUGGUAAAAUGAACUUUGUUGAACAUAAAGUGUCAUUUAAACUUAUUUUUUCAAAUCAUAUUAGUGGGAACAAAAACAUAUUUAAAAUUUCAUGUACUUACUCUUAUGGUUUUUUCAUGUUUUAUAAGCUAUAAUACUUCAAAUAAAGCAAUUUAAAAUGUAUUUCA